GGUAAGUUCCGACCUGCACGAAUGGAGUAACGAUUUGGGCGCUGUCUCCACCACGAACUCGGCGAAAUUGCAUUACGAGUAAAGAUGCUCGUUACGCGCAGCAGGACGGAAAGACCCCGGGACCUUUACUAUAGUUUGGUAUUGGUGAUCGGUACGACUUGUGUAGGAUAGGUGGGAGACUGUGAAGCAUUCACGCUAGUGGGUGUGGAGUCAUCGUUGAAAUACCACUCUGGUCGUUCUGGUUAUCUAACCUCGGACCAUGAUCUGGUCCAGGGACAGUGCCUGAUGGGUAGUUUGACUGGGGCGGUCGCCUCCCAAAAGGUAACGGAGGCGCCCAAAGGUUCCCUCAGCCUGGUUGGCAAUCAGGUGUUGAGUGUAAGUGCACAAGGGAGCUUGACUGUGAGACUGACAGGUCGAGCAGGGACGAAAGUCGGGACUAGUGAUCUGACGGUGGCGUGUGGAAGCGCCGUCACUCGAACGGAUAAAACGGUACCCCGGGGAUAACGAGGCUGAUCUGCCGAGCGUCCA
rnacentral:rRNA from 1 species